rnacentral:lncRNA from 1 species
CGGAGGAUGGUUGGUUGUGGGAUUUCUACUUUGCCUUUUCCUCCUUAUGCCGCCUUAGUGAGGGGCGGGAGCUCUGGCGGCAGCCCCGGGGUGGGGAGACGAGCUCCGGAGUCGGAAGAGCUGGGUUUUCUUCCGGGCCUAGCCACCAGUUGGCGGAGUGACCUUAGGCGAGUCACUCUGUAAUUUGUCUGCGCCUCAGUUUCCUCCUCUGCCUAUCAAUGUGUGUGGGGUUGAAAUCGCUUUGUAAACUAUAAAGCGUGGGUGUACGUAAAGGAUGGUUAUUGUUUAUAAUUUUUUUUGAGUUGUAAGAAAACUUAGCAGUUCCCCAAUCCUUGGGUUUUGAACCUGGGAACCUUGGAUUGGAGUUGGGGAUCCCCAAACUUCCUGAAAUUGUGGGAAUGUGCGGUUUGGGGGAAUGAUGGGAAUUUGUGGGAAUGUGCGUUUUAGGGGAAUGAUGAUCCAUCGCUAGCAAGUUUUCCAAGGGGGCUGUGACCCAGAAGAGUUAAGAAUCACAAUUUCUUCAUGCUACAGAGAGGAAACUGAGGCCUAGAUGUCAUUUGGGACCCUUCACAACCAUUUUGAAGCCCUGUUUGAGUCCCUGGGAUAUGUGAGCUGUUUCUAUGCAUAAUGGAUAUUCGGGGUUAACAACAGUCCCCUGCUUGGCUUCUAUUCUGAAUCCUUUUCUUUCACCAUGGGGUGCCUGAAGGGUGGCUGAUGCAUAUGGUACAAUGGCACCCAGUGUAAAGCAGCUACAAUUAGGAGUGGAUGUGUUCUGUAGCAUCCUAUUUAAAUAAGCCUAUUUUAUCCUUUGGCCCGUCAACUCUGUUAUCUGCUGCUUGUACUGGUGCCUGUACUUUUCUGACUCUCAUUGACCAUAUUCCACGACCAUGGUUGUCAUCCAUUACUUGAUCCUACUUUACAUGUCUAGGCUGUGUGGUUGGUGGUGAAUAGGCUUCUUUUUACAUGGUGCUGCCAGCCCAGCUAAUUAAUGGUGCACGUGGACUUUUAGCAAGCGGGCUCACUGGAAGAGACUGAACCUGGCAUGGAAUUCCUGAAGAUGUUUGGGGUUUUUUUCUUUCUUAAUCGAAAGUUAACAUUGUCUGAAAAGUUUUGUUAGAACUACUGCGGAACCUCAAAAUCAGUAGAUUUGGAAGUGAUUCAAAGCUAAACUUUUUCCUUGGCCCUCCUUGUGUUCUAAUUGCUUGCAAGUGUAAUACUAGGAUGUCCAAGAUGCCAGUUUUUGCUUCUUUGUUAGUUGUCAGCUGCUUUUAUCAAAUUUCAGGCCAUUAUCCAACAAACACUAUAAAAAUGUUUGAACAAUUGGAUUUCAAACAUUUUCGUUUUGUGGAGUGGUGCUCACCAAGUGGUACAGCCCUAAGCAAGUGAACACAAACACAUUUAAGUGUAUUUUGUCUGAUUAGAUGUUAGCCAGUUAUGCUAUUUCAUUCAAAUGUCUGAAAAAAUCAAUUGACUAUUCCCUUUUCCUAAAGGGCAGAGACAGAUAAUCUCACUUCCAGAGAAAUGACUUGGAGAAAAAAAAGUGUUGGUCUUUUUGCUCUUUUGUAAUUAAAUCCGGAUGUACCUCAAAAGACUUAAGACUGUGGUGAUAAGAUGCUUUCCUCAGCAGAAAGGAGGGAAAAAAAACAACUGGAACUCAAAGCUUGAAAUUCUGUGGCAAAACAUGAGAUGUCCAGGAUUGGAGGUUGAAAAGAUUUCACUACAGUGUUCUGCAAUAGUUGGAGCAGAUAACUUUCAGUGUAGCCACAGCCAUGGACUCCAGAUUUCCAGAUUUUCAAGACCUGGACCUGGAACCCGAAAGAGCUUGUCACGAUGCGGCAGGAACACUGGAGGUAGAUUUUUUUUUAUUUUUGAAUUUUGGGACUGUUGACCUUGCUGUGAGAAAAGAGACAACGACUGAGCAAGCACUACCACCAGCACUGUUACUGGGAAUUAGAAGACCUGAGUUUCUGUCCAGACCCUCAGUGCAAACUGAGGAUGCUCCAUCCAAAGUGAAUUAUGUCCUGUGCCUCCUGAUUGCUGAGUGUUCACCUGGACCUUCUGACUACCUUCCCUGUGCUAUUCCAUCAGCCUACAGACCUGGUACCUGGAUUUUUGCCCGAGAUGAUUCCUACCACCUUACUACUGACGAAGACACCCAUUCCAGUGGACCACUGUGACCCAGGAGGCAUUCAGCCAUCAUGAUGUGGCCUUUACCUCCACUCCUGUCUUGUUCUACCCAGAUUCAGCACAGCCCUUUAUAGUGAAGUCAGAGUCCUCAAGCCAAAUAGCUAAAGCUGUUUUAUCACAACAAAGGCCUAGUUUGUUCCAUGAGUGUGCAUUUCAUUUCUUCAGUUAAAGCCUUCAGAGACACACAAUAAAUUUGGACCAGGGGAUUUUUUAGUUAUUAAUGCUCUCUGAAGAAAGGCAACAUCUUUUUGAGAGCAGCAUUGGACCACACCCCACAAUCUCAAAUGAUUGAAAUUCAUGAACAUCUAGGAUCCCGUGAAGGUCACUGGACCCUGUUUUUUCUACUUCAAAUCCUGUAGUAGCCUACUGAAUGAGAAAACAUAUUCUGACCCAUUGGGAUCAAAUCAAAGGCACAGUGAACUCCUCAUAGCAUCUUCUUUGGAAUUACUCAGGAACCAGAACUUUUUACACAAAUGUAAGAAAUUCUACCAAGGAGUCCCCUUACCUAACAGCAUCUCACAAGGCUGCACCAGAUUCCAGAAAAGGCUUCUCUUGAUACAUCAAGGUAGAACCUCUAUGGCUUUGUGGCCAUGAAGCCCUUUGAGUGAAAACUGUGCAGAAGCCCAGAGUAAAAGUGAAGCUGCUCUGGAUGAAGUAGUGAAGCAAGAGUAGGGGCCUGAAUCCUGCUACAACUAUCUUCCUUUACCACCGUGGUGACACCUAAGGGGACUUCCUUACAACACCUUGAACUCUUCCGAACACAGUUUGAAAACCACUGCCCCAGACAGCAAUAUGUUUGACCUGAAUGGCAUUCCAAUCUUUUCUGUACCUCCACUCAGCACAGUUCAUGUUCAGUAGAUGCUGAACAUUCUUAGAAAUACUGUGUGUGAACUUAGAAAAGUGCAAGAAGACAGGCAUGUCUUUGACCCCAGGAAUGAUCAUUUGCUGAAGAUGGUGUCAAGUGAACCUAGAUUAACAGCCCUCCACUCCAGAUGGAUAUCCAGUGAUUCCUAGAAUGGGAUAUAGCCAGAGAACAAUUCUAUGCACCCUACACUGACAGACUCCCUUAAGCAACACCAGAUGCUCUACUGGUACUUGAAGUACAUGACUUUGAAGUCUUGACCCUCCAUGAAUACCUGAAUUAUCAGCAAGCGGGUUUUGAAGCUGGUGCCUCAUUGAGGCCAUAUUAGAGCAACUUGUACAUUUGACCUCUUGUUAUCAGCCAUGGUACUCUACUUCGUGUGCAAGAGAUAACUAUGAAAGCCAAAUUCAAAUACUGGCAACAUUUCCUAAAGGGGCUCAAUAUCUAUCAUUCGUCUUCUUUUCCAAACUACACAUCACUGUAUGACUCAACCAGUAGCAGUUAUAUUGCCCCUUGGUUUUUAUUCAGUUUAACUACUGUUUCCAAGAUAAAUGAGCUAAUAAGCUUUAAAAAAAAAAAAAAAAAAGGCUGAAUUCUUUUUUCUUCAUCACUGGCAUAUCUGCCUAUUCUCCAGAAUUAUUAUGACUAUUCAGCUCACUUUAACAGUUGAACUUCAAGCGACAAUCUUUGAACACCCCUUCUCAUGUGAUUUAAAAUGAAACCAUUUGGAAAAGUUUCUUCUAGCCAGUAAUAGAUUUUUUUUUUAAUUGCUCUGCCUUGUGCCGAGAGAUGUUCUUUUAAGAUGAAUCUUUUGAUGUCUGAUACCACCAAAUAUAGGUGGUAGGGAGAGUUGGAGGCUGGCCCUUUGAGCAGGCCAUUAGCUUACUUGCUGGGCAUUUCCGAUAGCUUAUUGCCUACCUUUUUGCUGGAAACAAACUGAUUUGAAAAACAAAAUCUAUGAAGACUGCAGCUAAGGAUUUUAUCGGUAGACUUAAGAGCUUUUGUCCUUGUGGAUAUUUUAGUGGAACCACAUCAGUCUCAAUACUGUCAUUUUACACUGACUCAGAGCAGCUGACUUCAUUCCUUGCCAUGAUAUAUAUUUAAGGCAGGCAUUGUAACAGACAUAAAGACAACUUAUCUGUUUCAGCAGGAAGGAUUCAGUUUAUGAACUCUCAGACCAGAUCAUGUUGAACAAGGAGACUUUGAUGUGUGUCAUGAGAAAACUCAUUCUUUACUUCCCAGUCAAUUUAAAGGCCAGCUAUCCUGAGCUACUCGAAUGAAUGCACUGGUUAAACAUUGGAAAUAGUUUGUUUAUAUCCUUGUCUCUCUCUAGGCCAAUUGUGAUUACAUGACUCGACUCUACAUCUCGUCAAACAAGGCCUAGGUCUGGUUGCUGUAGACUGCUCGCCCUCAACAAAUAAAAUCUGGUUGACUAGCCUCCUUGUAUAUACAACUAUUAUUUGUUAAGAAGAAAUUAUCGUCAAUUUUCUACUACCUUCCAAUUGUCAGCUCUUUUUUUCCUCUCUGGUUUUUCCUAUACUUUACAGAAAAAGACAUUGAUCUAUACUGCCAUUCCCUCUAAUCCUGCCAUACUCAGUCAAAAGGAAUGACUUAAGAUGAAGAUGAUCAUCUGCUCGAGUCUAAAAUAUACAUUGUAUAUAAGAAUUGGUGAUUAGAAAAGCAAAAAACCUAAAACUUAAAUCUAGGAGUCUGUAUACUGUCUCCAUGUCUCCAUGCCUCAGAUCUCAUCUAAAUCUUUGAACAGCACCAUUCAACCAAUCUGAGGCCUUGACUUGCUUGUAAGAUGAUUCUCAGAGAUCGGCUGAGUUAAAAAAGAUGACGACUUGAUUACCAAAGAAAGUAGGGCCAACUUUGACAAAUCUGGCUCUGCUGACCCUGUCACUCCCAGAUGUAGCAUAGACUCCUAAACAGAACCUCAAGUCUGAUUGAGGAUAAGGCCUUCUCCUGAGCUGAAAGUUCUUUGGCAGAUGAGCAAGAAACUGAAAGCUGAUGUACCUGACUGGCUCUGUAAGAUCAGAAAACUGUAUCCAGAAUAAGCCCUAUGGAUUAACCCCUGAGUACCCAGAGUAAAAACUAAUUUACAGAACUUCCUUAUUGAUCUGCUGGUUCUUCCAGAUCAUAUUCUGGCUAUUGGUAUGGCUGGCCUUUCUGAAGGUACCCUGCUUGUCUAUUUUCCUGACUCAGCUCUUGCCUGCCUUUUUCACAUGUUGCUGCAAUUAGACUCACCGUGAGGACUACAGUCAAUUUCAGUCUAUCUUGUGCCCAAUACAACAAGGAUUUUUAAUAGUAACAACCCACACCUCACCCACUAGGACUCAAUGUUCACAACAGGAAGGACCAUUGCUGCAUACUCCUUGACCAGCAACUUUUUUGAAGAUAUUUUUAAGUGCAGAGUAGGCCUCUAUUCCUGUAUGUAAUUGUUCAUUUUCAGCACCUGGAACCUCAUCUAUCGGGUCUGGAAGGAAUACAGCAGUUCGAAAGCCGCGUCCAUUUCUCUCCUUCAGUAGUGCAGAAAUGAGUCCGAUUCACCAGUACACACAGAACUGUACCAGUUCAACCUAGCAAAAGAAGAAAAGUUUCCACUGUACUUAAAAUUUACAGCUGACUCAAAUUGCCUCACAGAAUUAUUUGAUGUAGAAGGCUAGUUGUCUUACUUCAGAUCAGCAGGACAGUUGGGCUCUCAGACUCAUGACCACUGAGUUUGCUUGUGUUGAAACUGUGGUUUCAUCCAACAUAUGCUAUUGGACAUGAUUAUUAUUCCAUUCAAAUGGAUUACAGACUUCUUGAGGACAGGACAAACUUAUCUCUCAUGGUGUUUUUUUAGAAUACUUUUAUAACCAAGGAAGAAACCAUGCCAGCUGUUACCAUUCAACUUCUUAAGCAGAGAUUAAGCUUUUUCAUAUCUGUUCUUAUCCUGGACAUCAGUAGUUUUUAAUUGCCCAGCAUCCGUUCCAUCUUGUAACAACUCCCUGAUGUUUCUUAAAACCACCUCUUCCUAUUUUCAGUCUGUGGUUUGGACAGUCUGACCCAACCUUGAGCUUUGUGGGUGAACAUGUAAUUCAGACCUCAUCAAUCAGCAAAUCCAUCUGAACUGUGGAGGAGAAGCUCUCUUUACUGAGGGUGCUUUAGCUUUGUAGGAUGAAAACCUCAAACUAACAGGGCCUACCAUGUAGAGAAUGAAGCCAGUGCAGGGGAAAGCAGAGCCAAAAUAUGGAGAGACUUGAAUCCUGAUGACAGCGUUUGUGCCCCUGGAUCCAACCGUGCCUGAAGCUAGAAUAUCCCCUGGACUUUUCAGUUAUGUGAACCAAUAAAUACCCUUUUUUGCUUAAGUUACUUUGAGUUGGGUUUCUGUUACUUGAAAUUGAAUCCACACUAAUAUAUCUACCAACAUUGAGACUUGACAGAUCCAAGUAUUUAUUAAGCUAGAGGUCAUGGUCACUGAAAUUACUUUCCAAAGUGGAAGACAAAAUGAAACAGGAACUGAGGGAAUAUUUAAGAUCCCACAGAAGCGUAAAAAUGACAUGGUAGAAAGUAAUAGAAAACCUAAAUGUCUGUCAUUAAAGGAUAGGUUAAGGUGUGGUUCAGCCAUAUAGGAAUAUCUCGUAUCUGUUAAAAUGAAUAAAGUACAUUCAUUGUGUAUGGAAAAAUGGCCAUGAUACAUUAGGUGAAACAAGUUAUUAAUAGAAAAGUGUACAGUGUGAACUCAUUUUAAAAUGUGUGUGCUUAUGUUUAUAAAUGCAUAGAAAGGUCUAUUCACAG